UCAUUCCUUCUAUUCGGUACCACCUUCGAUGAAGGGAGUAGCACUUCCUUCGGGCCCAUGACCAUCAAAAUGGCCGAAGACGUUGGUGUGAUGCUUCAGAAGGGCUUGGCUGAAUGGUGGAGCGAAGAAACGGAGUACAUUUUCCAAAGGAUAGAAAGAUGGGCAGCAUAUGCCAGAGGCUACAAUCGUCUGAGGUCCCAGAGAUUGUCCAGAGGAAGAAUGACCAUGCAAGGUGGACAAGAACCUCGCUGGAGUAUUUCCUCCAACAAACUCAUAAUCGAUGACUCUUCGUGGAGUCCACGUUUUCACACUCUGAAGAAGUCACGACGAAAGUCUCGACCCGAAGAAACCAAAAUCAACUGCUGUGGCACGUUUAAUUACCAAUCUAAUAGUAAUCUGGAUAGUACCUGUCUGGAGACCUACAGGUAUGAUCACAGUAUUUACUUCAAGACCAUUGGAGACAUUAAAAAUAGUAAAAAAGAGGCUGAAGAAGUUAAAAAUGAAGAGGACAGGAUUUCCAUCAGCAGUGAGGAGCUGGUGGAGUGGGACGUCAACGCAGUGUCUGACUUCAUCGCCAAUCAGAUUCUAGAGGACGGCUUUCAGAACGUUUUGGACGCUAUGGACAAUUCUGACCCGGGUACCGACGAAAUUGGUUCUGUCACUUGGUUCAAUAUUGAUUUAUCCAAACUAGAUUUGAACGAAGAGACAACUACUGUUUCAGUUGUUGAUGAACAGAAUAAUCAAAGUAAUAUGAAAAUGAAAUUUGAUAUUGAAAAUGAAGAAAAUAAUAACAAUCAUGUUAUGGAUGAGAACUUGAAGAACCAAACGCAGUUUGUGGUAGAAGAUGAAGAAGAUAUUGAGAGAUUCAUUGAUAUUAGAAGAACGGAGCAAUUUCCGAUUACAGAUGGUCGAGUGUUCGAUUGAAUUGUUUUAGCUUUUUUGAAAAGUAUGUGCUACGUUUCGUUAACCUUCUUUAAGGUCAGAUGUGUAUAAAUAUUUGCUUGUUUUAUUAUAUUUUGUUAGAUAUGAUAUCAGGAUACUUGCUAUGUAUGCCUACCGUAGAUUUACGCUCUGUAAGACGGACCGUAGGUCCUGAUGACGUAAAUCUACCCUCUUAGAUAAAAGAACCCAAAGUGGACUUCAAAAAAUUGUCCCGGGCUCAAUGUGUUAUGGUUCUUGAUACAAAAUAACAGAGUUGCCUGGCGAGAGAAAAUAAGAAAAAUGUAUUUUUAUUAAAAAAGGAAAUAUAAAAUAGGGAAAAUGGCGAUGU